rnacentral:rRNA from 1 species
UGGGGAAUUUUGGACAAUGGGGGAAACCCUGAUCCAGCCAUCCCGCGUGUGCGAUGAAGGCCUUCGGGUUGUAAAGCACUUUUGGCAGGAAAGAAACGUCGCGGGUUAAUACCCCGCGAAACUGACGGUACCUGCAGAAUAAGCACCGGCUAACUACGUGCCAGCAGCCGCGGUAAUACGUAGGGUGCAAGCGUUAAUCGGAAUUACUGGGCGUAAAGCGUGCGCAGGCGGUUCGGAAAGAAAGAUGUGAAAUCCCAGAGCUUAACUUUGGAACUGCAUUUUUAACUACCGGGCUAGAGUGUGUCAGAGGGAGGUGGAAUUCCGCGUGUAGCAGUGAAAUGCGUAGAUAUGCGGAGGAACACCGAUGGCGAAGGCAGCCUCCUGGGAUAACACUGACGCUCAUGCACGAAAGCGUGGGGAGCAAACAGGAUUAGAUACCCUGGUAGUCCACGCCCUAAACGAUGUCAACUAGCUGUUGGGGGCCUUCGGGCCUUGGUAGCGCAGCUAACGCGUGAAGUUGACCGCCUGGGGAGUACGUCGCAAGAUUAAAACUCAAAUGAAUUGACGGGGGUCAUAGCUG